rnacentral:rRNA from 1 species
AUUGAACGCUGGCGGCAGGCCUAACACAUGCAAGUCGAACGAGUGGCGGACGGGUGAGUAAUGUCUGGGAAACUGCCUGAUGGAGGGGGAUAACUACUGGAAACGGUAGCUAAUACCGCAUACCAUCGGAUGUGCCCAGAUGGGAUUAGCUAGUAGGUGGGGUAAAGGCUCACCUAGGCGACGAUCCCUAGCUGGUCUGAGAGGAGGACAAGCCACACGGGAACUGAGACACGGUGCAGACUCCUACGGGAGGAAGCAGUGGGGAAUAGGGCACAAUGGGCGCAAGCCUGAUGCAGCCAUGCCGCGUGUAGGAAGAAGGCCUUCGGGGUGUAAAGUACUUUCAGCGGGGAGGCGUUACCCGCAGAAGAAGCACCGGCUAACGCCGUGCCAGCAGACGCGGUAAUAC